rnacentral:rRNA from 1 species
AACGAACGCUGGCGGCAGGCUUAACACAUGCAAGUCGAACGCAUCCUUCGGGGUGAGUGGCAGACGGGUGAGUAACGCGUGGGAACGUGCCCUUCAGUUCGGGAUAACCCAGGGAAACUUGGGCUAAUACCGGAUACGUGCGAGAGCAGAAAGAUUUAUCGCUGAAGGAUCGGCCCGCGUCUGAUUAGCUAGUUGGUGGGGUAAUGGCCCACCAAGGCGACGAUCAGUAGCUGGUCUGAGAGGAUGAUCAGCCACAUUGGGACUGAGACACGGCCCAAACUCCUACGGGAGGCAGCAGUGGGGAAUAUUGGGCAAUGGGCGCAAGCCUGAUCCAGCCAUGCCGCGUGAGUGAUGAAGGCCUUAGGGUUGUAAAGCUCUUUCGUCCGGGACGAUAAUGACGGUACCGGAAGAAGGAGCCCCGGCUAACUUCGUGCCAGCAGCCGCCGCGG